GUAUCCUCUCUAGGACGCUGAAGGACUCCUCCUCUCAGUGGUCUUAACCCUUCUAUUCCCGUCGCCCCCCCACCCCCCGACUCCUGCCUUCCCGCCAGGUCUGAGGAUGGGAGGCGGUGCACUGGCGUCCAGAUGGCGGGAACCUGAUCCCGGGAAAGAAGGCGCGAGAGCGAGGGAUGGAGACAGGGACAGACACGCAGACAGAGGGAGACGUCUCCCUAGGACCGACCAGGAUGGCGAUGACCCAGAAGAACUGAACUAACUGGUUGGAAUACAGACCUCAGUGACUGAAAUGUGAAGAGACUCUUUCUGGGAGGAGGCAUGAGUGAUGAAAUCUACUUUUUCUCCCCACACCCGGAGUCCAACGUUGUAUACCACGCGAGUGCCCAUGAGAUUCUUCUGAACUGAAAAUGAAUUCUGCUCUGUCAGUCUGUGCUUUUCGCUACUCCCCUGAGCUGUAUUUCUGCAGAAAUCUACGAGUAUUCUGCAGACAGAGGCGCUUGAGAGCAGACCCAUCAUUUUGCAAGAUAUCAAUCCUAAUUGAUGAUGGGACUUCCCUGGUGGCACAGUGGUUGAGAGUCCACCUGCUGAUGCAGGGGACACGGGUUCGAGCCCCGGUCCGGGAAGAUCCCACAUGCCGCGGAGCAACUAAGCUCGUGCGCCACAACUACUGAGCCUGCGCUCUAGAGCCCGUGAGCCACAACUGCUGAGCCCGCGCGCCACAACUACUGAAGCCCGCAUGCCUAGAGCCCGUGCUCCGCAACAAGAGAAGCCACCGCUAUGAGAAGCCCGCAAUGAAGAGUAGCCCCCGCUCGCCGCAACUAGAGAGAGCCCGUGCGCAGCAACGAAGACCCAGCGCAGCCAAAAAUAAAUAAAUUAAUUAAAAAAAAAAUCCUAGUUGAUGAAGUGGGAAGGCAGAGACUACAGAGAAGUUAGGGGAGCUGCUCCAGUCACACAGACCAUCAGAGGAGGAGUGACCCACAAACCUAGGCAUACUCGAUUCAGAGCCCACACUCUUUAUUUUUUAAAUUAAAUCCGACAUACCAUAUUACAUUAGUUUCAGGUGCACGACAAAGUGAUUCCACAUUUUUAAACAUUAGGAAAUGAAUACCACGAUAAGUUUGGUUACCAUCUGUCACCAUACAGGCUUAUUACCAUAUUACUGAUUAUAUUCCGUGUAUGUACAUUCCAUCCCCGUGACUUAUUUAUUUUAUAACUGGAAGUGUGUAUCUCCUAACCCCUUCACCUAUUUUACACAACUCCCCACCCGCUCCCCAUCUGGCAACCACCAGUUUGUUCUCUGUGUCUCUAACUCUGUUUCUGUUUUGUUCCCUGUGCUCACUUGUUUUGUUUUUGAGGUUCCACAUACAAAUAAAACCGUGUUGUAUUUGUC